rnacentral:lncRNA from 1 species
GAGGGAGAGAGGUCCACAAAAGGAAGGGAUUAGACUUUGGCAAGAAGAGCCAAGAAAGUUGUAAAUAACCUUCCUACAUGUCAAAGAUCAACAGAGAGUUUGAAAGAGUUGUCAAAUGGCUUAUCACAUAACAGAUGAAAAUUCAAAUACAGAAUGAAAAUUCAAAAAAAUGUCAUCUAAAUCUUUUUCUAAAAGGGCAAGUUGACCUUAGCUGACAUCUGGCUUAUGGAAAGAAGAUAUUUCUACUAGAGCUGCUUCAGGACUAAAUGGAUGACUGGACAAGAAGUUGAUCUGCUAUCUCUGGUAGUGUUUAGACAAAGACAACACAUUCCCUAGGCAUGGCCAUGGGGCAAGAAUCCAUCAGCAUGGCCAGAGACAACAAUAACAACCAGAAAACAAGAUGCUGCCCAGUCAUGCUGGGGUUUGGAUGCACC